GUAGGUGGCAAGCGUUGUCCGGGAAUUAUUGGGGCGUAAAGCGCGCGCAGGCGGUUCUUUAAGUCUGAUGUGAAAGCCCACGGGCUCAACCGUGGAGGGUCAUUGGAAACUGGAGAACUUGAGUACAGAAGAGGAAAGCGGAAUUCCACGUGUAGCGGUGAAAUGCGUAGUGAUGUGGAGGAACACCAGUGGCGAAGGCGGCUUUCUGGUCUGUAACUGACGCUGAGGCGCGAAAGCGUGGGGAGCAAACAGGAUUAGAUACCCUGGUAGUCCACGCCGUAAACGAUGAGUGCUAAGUGUUAGGGGGUUUCCACCCCUUAGUGCUGCAGCUAACGCAUUAAGCACUCCGCCUGGGGAGUACGGCCGCAAAGGCUGA
rnacentral:rRNA from 1 species